GACGAACGCUGGCGGCGUGCUUAACACAUGCAAGUCGAACGGAAAGGCCCUGCUUUUGUGGGGUGCUCGAGUGGCGAACGGGUGAGUAACACGUGAGUAACCUGCCCUUGACUUUGGGAUAACUUCAGGAAACUGGGGCUAAUACCGGAUAGGAGCUCCUGCUGCAUGGUGGGGGUUGGAAAGUUUCGGCGGUUGGGGAUGGACUCGCGGCUUAUCAGCUUGUUGGUGGGGUAGUGGCUUACCAAGGCUUUGACGGGUAGCCGGCCUGAGAGGGUGACCGGCCACAUUGGGACUGGGAUACGGCACAGACUCAUACGGGAGGCAGCAGUGGGGAAUAUUGCACAAUGGGCGGAAGCCUGAUGCAGCAACGCCGCGUGCGGGAUGACGGCCUUCGGGUUGUAAACCGAUUUCGCCUGUGACGAAGAGUGAGUGACGGUAAUGGGUAAAGAAGCACCGGCUAACUACGUG
rnacentral:rRNA from 1 species